CCUACGGGUGGCAGCAGUAGGGAAUCUUUCACAAUGGGCGAAAGCCUGAUGGAGCAACGCCGCGUGCAGGAUGAAGGCCUUCGGGUUGUAAACUGCUUUUAUAAGCGAGAAAUAUGAUGGUAACUUAUGAAUAAGGAUCGGCUAACUACGUGCCAGCAGCCGCGGUCAUACGUAGGAUCCGAGCAUUAUCCGGGGUUACUGGGUGUAAAGAGGUGCGUAGGUGGCAUAAUAAGUAGCUAGUGAAAUCUGGUGGCGCAACCAUUCAGACUAUUAGCUAAACUGUUAAGCUAGAGAGCGUGAGGGGUAACUGGAAUUUCUAGUGUAGGAGUGAAAUGCGUAGAUAUUAGAAGGAACACCAAUAGCGUAGGCAGGUUACUGGGACGGUUCUGACACUAAGGCACGAAAGCGUAGGGAGCAAACGGGAUUAGAUACCCGGGUAGUC
rnacentral:rRNA from 1 species